CAUAUCAAUAAGCGGAGGAAAAGAAACCAACCGGGAUUGCCUUAGUAACGGCGAGUGAAGCGGCAAAAGCUCAAAUUUGAAAUCUGGUACCUUCGGUGCCCGAGUUGUAAUUUGGAGAGGGCAACUUUGGGGCCGUUCCUUGUCUAUGUUCCUUGGAACAGGACGUCAUAGAGGGUGAGAAUCCCGUGUGGCGAGGAGUGCGGUUCUUUGUAAAGUGCCUUCGAAGAGUCGAGUUGUUUGGGAAUGCAGCUCUAAGUGGGUGGUAAAUUCCAUCUAAAGCUAAAUAUUGGCGAGAGACCGAUAGCGAACAAGUACAGUGAUGGAAAGAUGAAAAGAACUUUGAAAAGAGAGUGAAAAAGUACGUGAAAUUGUUGAAAGGGAAGGGCAUUUGAUCAGACAUGGUGUUUUGUGCCCUCUGCUCCUUGUGGGUAGGGGAAUCUCGCAUUUCACUGGGCCAGCAUCAGUUUUGGUGGCAGGAUAAAUCCAUAGGAAUGUAGCUUGCCUCGGUAAGUAUUAUAGCCUGUGGGAAUACUGCCAGCUGGGACUGAGGACUGCGACGUAAGUCAAGGAUGCUGGCAUAAUGGUUAUAUGCCGC
rnacentral:rRNA from 2 species